AGCUCCAGUAGCGUAUAUUAAAGUUGUUGCGGUUAAAAAGCUCGUAGUUGGAUCUCAGAGAGGCGUCGACGGUCGGCCUUCGCGGUCUGACUGCCGUCGCCUUUCACCGACCGCCGGUCGCGCGUGCCCUUCGCUGGGCGUGCGUCGGCUGCGGCCACGUUUACUUUGAAAAAAUUAGAGUGUUCAAAGCAGGCGUCUUCUCGCCCGCAUACCCCAGCAUGGAAUAAUGGAAUAGGAGGCUGGUUCUAUUUUGUUGGUUUUCGGAAUCUAGCCUAAUGGUUAAGAGGGACGGUCGGGGGCAUUCGUAUUGCGGCGUUAGAGGUGAAAUUCUUAGAUCGCCGCAAGACGAACAAGUGCGAAAGCAUUUGCCAAGAAUGUUUUCAUUAAUCAAGAACGAAAG
rnacentral:rRNA from 1 species